ensembl:snRNA U4 U4 spliceosomal RNA
AGCUUUGCACGGUGGCAGUAUUGUAGCCAAUGAGAUCUAUUCGAGGCGUGAUUAUUGCUAAUUGAAAACUUCUCCCAACCCCCCCCACCCGCCACCAUGACAUCUUAAAAUAUAGUCACACUGGCAAUUUUUGACAGUCUCUAUGGAGA